UGACUGGUUUCCUGCUUAUCUGCAAAUAAGCCUCCCCAUAAUAUAAACAUGUUUCUAUCUCCACUUCAUUUAUAAUAAGUCUUUAGGCAGAUUGUAAUUAGUAUUUUGAGUUUCUAAUAGAAGAUCUAUUGUGCUGCUGGAGCAAUAUUUUCCCUGACCAUCAAAACACUGAUUAUUUCUGCAUCAGUCUCAAGGGUUCUCACCUGUUCUUCUCAUUCUGGUCAAAGUCUUGCAUCCAAUUUAUCAGAAUCAAAUUGGGUAUUUGUCUGAACACCAUCAUCUUCAGAACAUAUUGCUUGUAGUUAACCACUGUAUUCAGCUCCACCUACAAGCCAAACCAGAAAUUAUUACCAGUUCUGCUUGAAUUUAUCCUGUAGCUGGAUUUUCAUCCAACACUUAAAGAACGAUCACGAUAGGGAAUAGCAAAAUGGAAACAAACAGAAAUUUUGCUUGGAAAAAAAAUGGUACUAUUUACAAAAAUCAACUUUUUGUGUCUGUUUUACUUAUUCCCAAGUUUGCAGUGCAUAAUUUUAUACAAACCCAAUUACAUAGCUCAGUGAUUUACUGGCAAAGCUGGCCAGGAGAAAAUUAUCUGGCUUUAGCUAAUGUGUGUGCCUAUUUACAAUCAAAACAAACCCAGAGAAAAUUGCAAAAUGGCCACAAAGAAAAAAAAAUAGUCACGUCAGAAAUGCACCGGAGGUGACAUAGUUUUCAGGCUGAAAAAAGUUCACCUUGUGUUAUUAUUUCACUGGAUGAGCAACAAACUGUGGUUAUGGGUAUGGAUUCAGCCUCUCAGAUCAUCUAUUUACUUAUUCCAGUAUUUACCUUGAAGCCCGUCUGGGGUCUCACUGGUUUGGAAAGCGUGGUGCUUUCCUUUCGCCCUUUCCAUCAUUCCUGUAGGGAUUUCUCUGCACAGUUAACGGGUGUGUGGGCUCUGCUCACCAGGAUCACUCAGCUGUUUACAGCUCCCCUGGCUCUGGGCAGGUUUGGGAUGCAGGGUUUGGGAUGCAGGGUUGGGAUGCAGGUUUGGGAUUCAGGGUUGGGAUGCAGGUUUGGGAUGCAGGUUCUGGGAUGCAGGGGUUGGGAUGCAGGGGUUGGAUGCAGUUUUGGGAUGCAGGGUUUGGGAUGCAGGUUUGGGAUGCAGGUUCUGCGAUGCAGGGCUUAGGAUGCAGGGCUUAGGAUGCAGGGGUUGGAUGCAGUUUUGGGAUGCAGGGUUUGGGAUGCAGGUUUGGGAUGCAGGUUCUGGGAUGCAGGUUCUGGGAUGCAGGGGUUGGAUGCAGUUUUGGGAUGCGGGGUUUGGGAUGCAGGUUUGGGAUGCAG
rnacentral:lncRNA from 1 species